AUUGAACGCUGGCGGAAUGCUUUACACAUGCACGUCGAACGGUAGAGGGGGCAACCCCUCGAGAGUGGCGAACGGGUGAGUAAUAUAUCGGAACGUGCCCAGUCGUGGGGGAUAACGUAGCGAAAGUUACGCUAAUACCGCAUACGAUCUAAGGAUGAAAGCGGGGGAUCGCAAGACAUCGCGCGAUUGGAGCGGCCGAUAUCAGAUUAGGUAGUUGGUGGGGUAAAGGCUCACCAAGCCAACGAUCUGUAGCUGGUCUGAGAGGACGACCAGCCACACUGGAACUGAGACACGGUCCAGACGCCUCCGGGAGGCAGCAGUGGGGAAUUUUGGACAAUGGACGCAAGUCUGGUCCAGCCAUUCCGCGUGCAGGAUGAAGGCCCUCGGGUUGUAAACUGCUUUUGUACGGAACGAAAAGGUCUCUCUUAAUACGGGGGACUCAUGACGGUACCGUAAGAAUAAGCACCGGCUAACUACGUGCCAGCAGCCGCAGUAA
rnacentral:rRNA from 1 species